UUUUGUUCAGUGUAACUCUUUUUCUCUUCAAUGGAUUCUGAAGAAUCCCCAUUUGCACACCACCCUUCCCAAUUUCAACUACCACCCUUACCUCCACUUAGCCAUGGAACAAUGGGGGUGGAACCACCAACCCCACCACCACCACCACCCCAGUUCCAACCCAUCCAACAAGACCAGCUCAAUCAGUUCGUUAUGCCUUUAACUGUGGUUCCUCUUCCACCGGAACAUCAGCUUAGCUUUCAAUUCCCCUUCAAUUCAGUUCCUGAUCAAAACCCAAAUCCCAUUUUUGUUGAUGAUGGAUCAUCAUCUGCUGCUGCUGGGGCUGGGGCUGGGCUUGCUGCUGGGGCUGUUUCUGGGGCUGUUGCUGGGGCUAAGAAGAAGAGGGG
rnacentral:misc_RNA from 1 species